UACGUAGGGACCAAGCGUUGUUCGGAUUUACUGGGCGUAAAGGGCGCGUAGGCGGCAAUUCAAGUCAUCUGUGAAAUCUCCGGGCUUAACCCGGAACGGUCAGGUGAUACUGUUUUGCUAGAGUGCGGAAGGGGCAAUCGGAAUUCUCGGUGUAGCGGUGAAAUGCGUAGAUAUCGAGAGGAACACCAGAGGUGAAGGCGGGUUGCUGGGGCCGACACUGACGCUGACAGCGCGAAAGCCAGGGGAGCAAACGGG
rnacentral:rRNA from 1 species